rnacentral:rRNA from 1 species
ACGAACGCUGACAGAAUGCUUAACACAUGCAAGUCGAUUCGAUUUACCUUCGGGUAUUGAGGAUGGCGGACGGGUGAGUAACGCGUAAGGAACUUGCCUCUUGGACUGGGACAACUGUUGGAAACGACAGCUAAUACCGGAUAUUAUGAGAUUCUCGCAUGAGAAAUUUAUGAAAGCUAUAUGCGCCAAGAGAGAGCCUUGCGUUCCAUUAGCUAGUUGGUGGGGUAACGGCCCACCAAGGCGACGAUGGAUAGCCGGCCUGAGAGGGUGAACGGCCACAAGGGGACUGAGACACGGCCCUUACUCCUACGGGAGGCAGCAGUGGGGAAUAUUGGACAAUGGGCCACAAGCCUGAUCCCACCAAUUCUGUGUGCACGAUGAAGGUCUUCGGAUUGUAAAGUGCUUUCAAUUGGGAAGAAGAAAGUGACGGUACCAACAGAAGAAGCGACGGCUAAAUACGUGCCAGCAGCCGCGGUAAUACGUAUGUCGCAAGCGUUAUCCGGAUUUAUUGGGCGUAAAGCGCGUCUAGGCGGAAAAAUAAGUCUGAUGUUAAAAUGCGGGGCUCAACUCCGUAUUGCGUUGGAAACUGUUUUUCUAGAGUACUGGAGAGGUGGGCGGAACUACAAGUGUAGAGGUGAAAUUCGUAGAUAUUUGUAGGAAUGCCGAUGGAGAAGUCAGCUCACUGGACAGAUACUGACGCUAAAGCGCGAAAGCGUGGGGAACAAACAGGAUUAGAUACCCUGGUAGUCCACGC